rnacentral:rRNA from 1 species
GGCGUCCGAGUUGUAAUUUGUAGAGGAUGCUAUUGAGUUGUCACCGGUCUAAGUUCCUUGGAACAGGACGUCAUAGAGGGUGAGAAUCCCGUAUGUGACCGGCCAGACGCUCUCUGUAUAGCUCCUUCGACGAGUCGGGUUGUUUGGGAAUGCAGCCCUAAAUGGGAGGUAAAUUUCUUCUAAAGCUAAAUACCGGCCAGAGACCGAUAGCGCACAAGUAGAGUGAUCGAAAGAUGAAAAGCACUUUGGAAAGAGAGUUAAAAAGCACGUGAAAUUGUUGAAAGGGAAGCGCUUGCAAUCAGUCUCGACGGCGGCUGUUCGGCCUCUCUUCUGAGUGGUUUAUUCAGUCGCCGCCGGGCCAGCAUCAGUUCUGGCGGUCGGAUAAAGACGCGGGGAAUGUAGCUCCUCUCGGGGAGUGUUAUAGCCUCGCGUGCAAUACGGCCUGCCGGGACUGAGGUCCGCGCUUCGGCUAGGAUGCUGGCGAAAUGGUUGUAAGCGGCCCGUCUUGAAACACGGACCAAGGAGUCUAACAUCUAUGCGAGUGUUUGGGUGUCAAACCCGUACGCGUAAUGAAAGUGAACGGAGGUGGGAACCGCAAGGUGCACCAUCGACCGAUCCUGAUGUCUUCGGAUGGAUUUGAGUAAGAGCAUAGCUGUUGGGACCCGAAAGAUGGUGAACUAUGCCUGAAUAGGGUGAAGCCAGAGGAAACUCUGGUGGAGGCUCGCAGCGGUUCUGACG